rnacentral:rRNA from 1 species
GACGAACGCUGGCGGCGUGCCUAAUACAUGCAAGUAGGACGCAGUUGCGAACGGGUGAGUAACGCGUAGGUAACUGCCUAUUAGAGGGGGAUAACUAUUGGAAACGAUAGCUAAUACCGCAUACUAGUAGAUGGACCUGCGUUGUAUUAGCUAGUAGGUAGGGUAAUGGCCUACCUAGGGGACGAUACAUAGCCGACCUGGGGUGGAGAUCGGCCACACUGGGACUGGGACACGGGCCAGACUCCUACGGGGGGCAGCAGUAGGGAAUCUUCGGCAAUGGGGGGAAACCUGACCGAGCAACGGCGCGUGAGUGAAGAAGGUUUUCGGAUCGUAAAGCUAUGUUGUUAAGGGAGCGGUACUUAACCAGAAAGGGACGGCUAACUACGUGCCAGCAGCCGCGGUAAUAC